rnacentral:lncRNA from 1 species
AAAACAACCAUUUAAUUGUCUUUGUAAGUUUGACAGACACAUAAAUUCAUUUUUGUUGUUCUUGUAAAACAGUGGAUUGUAUCUUGCUAAAUUUAAGUAAAUCCUAUUUCCCCCAAAUAAGACCCACUAUCCAUAAUGCUCAAACAUUUUCACAUUGGCAUACUGAAAUCUGCAGAAAAGUUAGACAUCUUUCCGACUUCAAAAGUUGAAGACAGUCUAAAGGGCCCAAGCAAAUAGGCUUUUUGUGCAUAGCUAGAGAGAGCCUUUUCCCCCUUUAAUCUAGUAAAAAGUCUUUACUGUGCUCCACCACAUAUUCUUUGCAUAUUCUGCUGUUGUGAGUGAGAAGGUUUCAUUCCUUCUGACUCACCGUGAAAGGAAUAUCACUAAAAGUUCAUUAUAAGCAGGUGCUACUGACUACACUGGAAAAAAAAUUCAAUAGCACCAUGAAAUCCAACAUUUCAAAAAUAUGCUUUGAAAUAAUAGUUGUUUAGAGAGACCUCAAUGGAUUCCAGUGCUCCGGAACCUUCUCCUGGGUUGUGAACAAUCAAAGAUUUAUUUGAGCUCUCUGCUCACUGGGAAAUGAAGACCCAGAAGCUCAUUAUCAUGUCUAUUAAAAAGCAGAAACUGGGGUACAUCUAAGAAAAGAUGUAUUACUUUUUAAACCGCACUGCAAACUGCAGACCAAUAGGGACUUGAACUAUAUAAAAAUACCCUUGGUAGUGGGGGAGGGGGGGUGCAAAGAAGGUGGGGGUGGAGAUUCAGCCUCCCAAACAGCAGGGAAAUACACGCCGCCAAGUUCCAUUGUUGUCAUGGCUUUGGCAAGGUGCCUUUGUGCGUUUCUCUCCAAACAGGAUUUUCGAAGUCGGACUUUUGGUGUAAUCUGGGAACAGGAUGUGACUUCUCAAAAGAACUUAAGGGACCAUGCUGUAGGCGAGAACUGGCUCAAGGGCAAAUAGCUAGCAUCAGAAUCAUCUGUGUCUUGGGUGAUCCUACCUCAAGGCCUAAGGACACAAGGCUGCCUGUGUUCGAUACACGCUUCAACUUACAAAAGAAAUACUGCGGCAUUUUCUGCUUUUAUCUGUUCCACAAAGAGAGGCUCUGGAAAAUAGGUUUUUUUUGUCUUUCCUCGAGAAUGAACAGAAAAACAAAAACAUGGUGGAGGAAGAAGACUCCUAGCUCUGUUGAGAAAUAGGAAGCUAUGUGUUUGCCCUUUCUGCUGUGAAGAAGUUGACUGAAGAGAUGUAACCCUGGACGCUGCUAUGUAAACCACCAACAGAAAUGGCAGAGGUCACCGUGGGAAAAGAAAGGGUGCCUUGGGGCCAGAGUGAAACAAAAGUUAAUGCUCUUAGGCAUCUCGGGUUGAAAAGCAAAACCAUAGAGCAGCCCAGAGUGGCUUGCUGUUUUCUUCCUGUUCUUCCUCCUCCUCCCCUUAUUCCUUCUCCCUCUCUGUCUCUGUCUCUGUCUCUGUCUCUCUGUCUCUCUCUCUCUCUGUCUCUCUCUUCCUUUGGGGCUCAAUUUCAAACCAUU